rnacentral:rRNA from 1 species
AACAGGAUUAGAUACCCUGGUAGUCCACGCCGUAAACGAUGUCGACUUGGAGGUUGUGCCCUUGAGGCGUGGCUUCCGGAGCUAACGCGUUAAGUCGACCGCCUGGGGAGUACGGCCGCAAGGUUAAAACUCAAAUGAAUUGACGGGGGCCCGCACAAGCGGUGGAGCAUGUGGUUUAAUUCGAUGCAACGCGAAGAACCUUACCUGGUCUUGACAUCCACGGAAGUUUUCAGAGAUGAGAAUGUGCCUUCGGGAACCGUGAGACAGGUGCUGCAUGGCUGUCGUCAGCUCGUGUUGUGAAAUGUUGGGUUAAGUCCCGCAACGAGCGCAACCCUUAUCCUUUGUUGCCAGCGGUCCGGCCGGGAACUCAAAGGAGACUGCCAGUGAUAAACUGGAGGAAGGUGGGGAUGACGUCAAGUCAUCAUGGCCCUUACGACCAGGGCUACACACGUGCUACAGUGGCGCAUACAAAGAGAAGCGACCUCGCGAGAGCAAGCGGACCUCAUAAAGUGCGUCGUAGUCCGGAUUGGAGUCUGCAACUCGACUCCAUGAAGUCGGAAUCGCUAGUAAUCGUGGAUCAGAAUGCCACGGUGAAUACGUUCCCGGGCCUUGUACACACCGCCCGUCACACCAUGGGAGUGGGUUGCAAAAGAAGUAGGUAGCUUAACCUUCGGGAGGGCGCUUACCACUUUGUGAUUCAUGACUGGGGUGAAGUCGUAACAAGGUAACC